CUCAGAUGGUACAUUAUAGACCACAACCACAUUGCCAUUCAACGAUUCAAAGAUGGACUGGCAAGUCUGCAGUUUUUGACUGCACUGCAGCAGCAUUCUGGUGUGCUGGCUCCUGUCCUAUACCAUUCUUCCAAGGCCCUGACUGCUGCAGAAAUGGAAAGCAUGUUCAGUCCAGACCUCAGCCCAAGAGGAAGCAACAGGCGGCAGAAGGAGGUCAAAAUAAUUGGAUUUUGGGCUGAUUUUCUUCUUGAUUGUGAAG